UUAGCUUUAGCUGCCGCAGAUUUUUGUUUCUCUUUUGGCGCAGGAACAGUAGAUAGCGAACAAAAGAUAUCAUAACCUUGGUUUUGGGUAUUAACUGGCAAUUGCUGCUUUUGUUCUUGCACUUUGCCUUCUUUUUCCAUUUGAAGGUAAGUAUCAAAAUCAUCAAUUAUAUUGUUAAAGCGCUCUGCUUUUGGAGCAUGACUAAAAAAAGUCGUAACAAGGUA
rnacentral:rRNA from 1 species